AACGUAGGACGCAAGCGUUAUCCGGAGUUACUGGGCGUAAAGCGCGGGCAGGCGGCUCGAUGCGUCUGAUGUGAAAUCUCCUCGCUCAACGGGGAGAGGCCAUUGGAAACGGUCGGGCUGGAGGGCAGUAGAGGUAGGCGGAAUUCCGGGUGGAGUGGUGAAAUGCGUAGAGAUCCGGAGGAACACCAGAGGCGAAGGCGGCCUACUGGGCUGCACCUGACGCUGAGCCGCGAAAGCUAGGGGAGCAAACGGG
rnacentral:rRNA from 1 species